rnacentral:rRNA from 1 species
CGGAAGCUAUAUGAGCUAAAGGUAGUAUAUUAUAGUGUUUAACGUGUUGCAUAACUUACCAGAAUGGCCUUUAGGGGUGAUAGACCUAACAAAUAUUGCGAUAUCUUGUUUAUCUUUAAACUUAUUUAGUAAAACAACAGACCAGGAGUGCUAAUAUUACUGGUAAGUAUCAACUGAUAAAAGAAGUUAUUAUCUAGUAUAAAAACACAUAAGCAAUAGUUAUAAUAUUAAUCUUUUUCGAUUAUUAAUAAUAAGGGUAAAUAUUACAACAAAAAUUAAUACUUAUUAUGUUAAUAUUAGUAAAUAUUUAAGUAUGCUAAAUGAACUCGGCUAAAAUUUCUCGACUGUUUAUCAAAAACAUAGCCAAAUGUAAUUAUAUUUGGUAAUUUCUGCUCAAUGAUAUAUUUAAUAGCCGCAGUACCCUGACUGUGCAAAGGUAGCAUAAUCAAUUGGCUUAUAAUUAAAGUCUGGAAUGAAAGGACACACGGGGAGUUACUGUAUCUAGUACUUAUAGUGAAAUUGAUUUUCAAGUGCAAAUACUUGUAAUUAAUUGUUAGACGAGAAGACCCUGGAAAUUUGCAUAACUGUUUAGUUGGGGCAACGUAGUAGGAGUAACCUACAGUAAAGGACAAGAAAAAAAUUUGAUAGAAAAAAUUACUCCAGGGAUAACAGCAUAAUUCAUAAGAGUUUGUGACCUCGAUGUUGGAUUUGGGAACUAUCGUUUAAA